CCUUUCCAAUCAUUAACACUUAAUAACGAUCCAAUUUUUUUUUUUUGUCGAAAAAAAAAAUUUCGAAUCGUUAUUAAGUGUUAAUGAUUGGAAAGG
rnacentral:pre_miRNA from 1 species